UACGGGAGGCAGCAGUGGGGGAUAUUGCACAAUGGAGGGAACUCUGAUGCAGCGACGCCGCGUGAGUGAAGAAGUAUUUCGGUAUGUAAAGCUCUAUCAGCAGGGAAGAAAAUGACAGUACCUGACCAAGAAGCCCCGGCUAACUACGUGCCAGCAGCCGCGGUAAU
rnacentral:rRNA from 1 species